AGCAAAUUGUUUUUUUAUUUUUGGUUUUAUUAUAUUUAUUUUCGUUGGGCCUGGCACCCCAAGCCCAAAACUCUCCCUUCUGACCUAGAAACUUUCUAGGGGUCGAAUCCUUUUCCUUCAUUUCCCACUCUCUCGUCUCAAGCACCCAGGGACUCAAAUCCCCUUCUCUCGUACCAGCCAAGGGUUGAGGCCGCACACUACCAUAUCCCGAUCAGCCACCGCACCCAUCCAGCUCCGUUCAAACUAUCACCGGCGACGGCAGCCGCCACCGGAACCAUGGCCGGCCACGCAUCCUCACUGCAUCUCCCUCUCAGGGUGCGCCUUUCUCAAGCCCACGCACGCCAUCGCCCCUGGCAUUCACUCACGCCUAGACCGAUCACCGUAGCCAGCGCCGCUCACAAAUCGCCGGCAAUUCCUCCCUGAAGCCACCACCGGCGACAAUGCUCCCCCUCUCCUCCUGUGUUCGCGCUAGGCUAGGGUUGGAGUUUCUCCCCUUGACGUUGUUUGCCGCCGUCUCGCCGCCACCGCCGUCACGAGCCGCCGCCACAGAAACGCCUCGUAUCAACACACCCGGAAUCGCGCAACCCUGUCGCGUGAGAGUUCGAAGCCUUGGCCGCAGAAGCCUAACGCCGACGCACCAACAACAGCGGCAAUGCCCUGCUUCUACACUUCCGUCACCGCGCCCGCCGCCUGCCUCAACUCGUUUACCUUUUCUUCUACCUUUCUUUGAUUGCUAUAUUGGUGAUGGGGAAAUGGUUUUCUUUGUUUCAGGUUUUGGAUAGAAAAAAAUGAAAUAUUGGAACAUUAUCGGCGACUCGAAUGCUCCAAGAGCGAAUGAGGGAGGUUUGGAUUUCCGUUGUGGUGGUUGAGUGUGAUGGUAUGAUGUGUGAAUUGGGAUGAGGGAUAAUGAUAAGGAGAGGUUGAACUUGAUAUGGUUGGUGUGAAUGUUGUGACCCUGUAUCAGGCUAGGAGUUUGAUUCAGGCCAAGGUUGACGGCGUUCAGGUUUCGGGUGGGAAUGGGAAGAAGAGUUGAUUUUUGACAUGGUCAAGGUUUCGUGUUGGUUGGUGAGGAAAGGAUUCAGAGAUCCACGUUCACUUUCCCUUUUUCAUUAUAUUGGUGCUUGGUUUUGGGGGAGAAUGAGGGGUGGCAGAAUUAGUGGCAUGAAAAACGAUGGGUUCCAAAAGAUGCAAAGGUCAUCAGGGAUGUGCCUGAGGCCAUGGCAGGGACAACUUGCGCUCUUACCUAUCAGAGCGGCAGUGGCUGAAAGGAAACAGGGCUACUUCUCCAACUGUCAACUCCGACAUUGCUUACUGUCUUGUUAAAGGAAAAACCGAUUUCAUUCGAAACCAUUGUCACAGUUUUGGUGUUUCCAACUUAGCUGAUGAAUGAACAUUGAUAAACAAAGGGAAGGAACGCCUUGGGAUAUUGAUUCAUUUCAUAAUCAAUUUAAUAAUAUUACAUUCAAUUUCAGUUAGCAACUCAAUUCAAAGCAGAUAAGAUUCAUCACCAUGCCAAUUCACAGAUUUAUACUGUCAUCCAGUAAAAUUAACAAUUGCAGAGCAGUUUCACAAACAUAUCAGUCAGUUCAACAUUCAAGAUGUAAUUAUUUCAAUGAAUUGUUGAAAAUGCUAUUGAAUAUUUGAAGAUUAUUUGGGCCUUAGACGGGAAUGAAAAUAUGACAGUUUUUGGUAAAAGAAGUAUUGCACCAUGGUCUUUAUUUCUUCUUCCACUGUCAAGGAAAAGAAUAUUCUUCUAACUUUCAAAGUGUUAUCUUGAUUUAUUAUAGAGUUACUAUUGUUUGGAUUAUUAAUUUUCAGGGCACAAAUUGACAAUGCUUCCCGUAGAACCCGAACUUAGGAAGAUGCUCAUUUUAGGAACCAUCUUGACUGUUCUUUUGUCGAAGUCCUCUUGAUAGUAAUGGUGGUAAAUUUUAUUAGUUUUGAUGGUAGCAAGUGAGAGUAGUUGUUUUCAAGAGUAUAAUAACUGGAAGCGAGCUAGAGUAAGUUCAUAGAACUAUAAAGCAUGUGCAAUGUAUUGGUUACCUAGUUUGGGACGCUAUAAUUCUGCAUUUGCAGUCCCCUACAUUAUCCUUCGUUUUAGGUUUAACUAUCUAUUCUUAUAAUGGAGGUGGACUUAUAUAAUUUAAACUUUAGUCCAUUUAGGAGAAAUUUUUUUAUUCUUUAUUAAAUCAAAUAUGGUAAUUUGUGAUGUUUAAUUCUAAGUAUUGCAAUUAUUUUCAGCUAAAUCCUCAAUUCUGUAUUGUUUUGCUACUAAUGUCAGGCAAAUCAAGCAUAUAAAGAUAGGCAGUAGCAGGAAGCCAUUGGAUUUUAUACAGAAGCUAUCAAACUCGGUAGUGAUAAUGCAAUGUACUAUAGUAACAGGGCUCAAGCGUAUCUAGAACUUGGAAGUUAUCUUCAAGUUGAGGCGGAUUGUACCUCUGUAUAUCCAGUUAUCUGGACAAAAUGGUGACUUCCUUAAUAAAAAGAAACAUUGUGCAUGGAUUUUGUCAUCAUAGUCUUGCAAAAGCUUGUCUUCAUUCCAAAUAUGAUCCUCACAGAAGCUUGUCUUCAUCACCGUAAGCAUCAACUAAAGAUUGAAAG